UACGGAGGGUGCAAGCGUUGCUCGGAAUUAUUGGGCGUAAAGGGUAGGUAGGUGGUCUCAUUUGUCUGGGGUGAAAGCCUUGGGCUUAACUCAAGAAGUGCCCCAGAAACGGUGAGACUGGAGUCCUGGAGAGGGUCGUGGAAUUCCCGGUGUAGCGGUGAAAUGCGUAGAGAUCGGGAGGAACACCAGAGGCGGAGGCGGCGACCUGGACAGGUACUGACACUCAACUACGAAAGCGUGGGGAGCAAACAGG
rnacentral:rRNA from 1 species